GCUCCCAGCCCCGCCCGCCCCGGUGGGUGAGCAGACAAGCCUUUUGGGCUGAUUGAAAACGAGGAGGAAAAAGCAGCCGUGGAAACCUAAUUCAUGGGAACUUCUUGAAUGUACUCUCAGAUGCCAAUAAAAUCCACUGAGCAAUUUGACAGUCUUUCUUAUAUGCUCCUGUUAUGAUGAUUAAUUUUGUAAAGAUCAGUGUACCUUUUUGUUGUGAAUUAUGUUUAAUGCUAUUAGUUAUACUGUGAGGUAAAUAUGCACUACUUAUGCUGGAGUUAGAAGGACCAACAUCCGAAUAAGUUUGGAACUGUGACAUGGAUCAUGGGUUGAUGUAGUCUGUCUGUAUGAUUGCUGGUAUAACUUAAUUGACAUUUUAUCUUUUUCUUUCUGAUUUUUUUUUGUUAAAUACAUACAUAUAUACAUACACACAUACAUGCAUCCCAACAUCUUGCAUUUACUAAAAUAUCAUGUUUGUAUUUUUAUAUUUUACUCUGGUAAUUUACACUGCCAAUGUAGGGAGAAGAUGUAUACAAAUUUACAUUUACUAUCUCUUUAAAAGUUACUUUGUUAUUAAAGAAAAUGUUUAGGUCUAGAGGUUCCAGGUUUUUUCCCUUCCCUCAUAGUCUUUUUGUGGCUACUAAUCGCUAGCCUAUUCUUGAUUUGCCUAACUUUGUUUUUUGCCUUAUAAUUCUGCUAAGAUUCUGAAGCCAUCAAUGAAAGUUUAACUUUC